AUUGAACGCUGGCGGCAAGCCUAACACAUGCAAGUCGAACGAGUGGCGGACGGGUGAGUAAUGUCUGGGAAACUGCCUGAUGGAGGGGGAUAACUACUGGAAACGGUAGCUAAUACCGCAUACCAUCGGAUGUGCCCAGAUGGGAUUGGCUAGUAGGUGGGGUAACGGCUCACCUAGGCGACGAUCCCUAGCUGGUCUGAGAGGAUGACCAGCCACACUGGAACUGAUGCACGGUGCAGACACCUACGGGAGGCAGAAGUGGGGAAUAUUGCACAAUGGGGGCAAGCCUGAUGCAGCCAGGCCGCGUGUAUGAAGAAGGCCUUCGGGUUGUAAAGUACUUUCAGCGGGGAGGCGUUACCCGCAGAAGAAGCACCGGCGAACUCCGUGCCAGCAGCCGCGGUAAUAC
rnacentral:rRNA from 1 species